UACGUAGGGUGCAAGCGUUGUCCGGAAUUAUUGGGCGUAAAGAGCUCGUAGGCGGUUUGUCACGUCGGAUGUGAAACCCUGAGGCUCAACCUCAGGCCUGCAUUCGAUACGGGCAGACUAGAAUUCGGCAGGGGAGACUGGAAUUCCUGGUGUAGCGGUGAAAUGCGCAGAUAUCAGGAAGAACACCAAUGGCGAAAGCAGCUCUCUGGGACGGUACUGACGCUGAGACGCGAAAGCGUGGGGAGCGAACCGG
rnacentral:rRNA from 1 species